AAUGUAAGUUGCUUGGUCUGUGCAAUGGGGACUGCAAGGAAUGAAAUUUUGUUCAAUCAUUCAGUCUACUACAUUGUGGAUGAAGGACAAUAAAAGUAGAGUUGGGUUGAGUAAGCAAUGUGCAGAAGCAAUUAAAAAGGCAAAUAAAAGGUUAAGUUACAUCAUAAAAACUGUUGAAUUUACGUCAAGGGAUGUUAUGCUCCAUCUAUAUCAUCUACUAAUGAGGUCACUUCUGGGUGCAGUUCUGGUCACCACGUUACAUGAAAGGUGGAGUGAGCACUUGAAGCUGUGCAGAGGAGAGCAACCAAGUGGAUCAUGGGACUUAGAUUGAUGGAUUUAAGGCCAGAGGUCCACCCGACCACGUGAAGCCUGAAAACCAUCAGGAUGGAUUGAGGUCCUUGAUGUUAGGUAGAAUGCCCACUGGGGACUGGGUGGUCUCUUGGCAUUGGAACCCCUGCAGAUAUUUUU